rnacentral:rRNA from 1 species
AUUGAACGCUGGCGGCAGGCCUAACACAUGCAAGUCGAACGAGUGGCGGACGGGUGAGUAAUGUCUGGGAAACUGCCUGAUGGAGGGGGAUAACUACUGGAAACGGUAGCUAAUACCGCAUACCAUCAGAUGUGCCCAGAUGGGAUUAGCUAGUUGGGGGGGUAACGGCUCACCAAGGCGACGAUCCCUAGCUGGUCUGAGAGGAUGACCCGCCACACUUGAACUGGAACACGGUCCAGACUCCUACGGGAGGCAGCAGUGGGGAAUAUUGGACAAUGGGCGCAAGCCUGAGGAAGCCAUGCCGCGUGUAUGAAGAAGGCCUUCGGGUUGUAAAGUACGUUCAGCGGGGAGGCGUUACCCGAAGAAGAAGCACCGGCUAACUCCGUGCCAGCAGCCGCGGUAAUUC